rnacentral:rRNA from 1 species
UACGGAGGUGCAAGCGUUGUCCGGAAUCACUGGGCGUAAAGGGCGCGUAGGCGGCUCAUGAAGGCUGUGGUGAAAGUCCGGGGCUCAACCUCGGAUCGGCCGUGGCGACUCGUGGGCUGGAGCACUGUAGAGGCAGGUGGAAUUCCGGGUGUAGCGGUGGAAUGCGUAGAGAUCCGGAAGAACACCAGUGGCGAAGGCGGCCUGCUGGGCAGUGGCUGACGC